CCAAUCUUACCAUCUAACUUCCGCGACUCAAAAAACUACCCAUCUGAAGUCGGUUACCUUAGAGAAAUGAUAUUUGUACAACCAUUUUGUAACAAUUUUUGUACAACUUUCUCUCUCAUACUCACAUGAUGUUCUUAUCAUCUCUCUUCCUUUUUCUCUCUCCAUUGUUUUUGACCAAUAAGAAGAGAGAAAAACAAAGUUGUCACUAAAGUUGUCAUAAAAUUGAUGUACAAAUAUCAUUGCUCGUUACCUUAAUACAGAAAUAAAGAGUGUGAACAGAUAUUGAAAAAGUACAACUGAUCUCUAAAAUCAAAAUAUAUACACUUUCACAAAGAGAAAGAUGAAUUCGAUAGGUAGUAUGGAGGAAUAGCCUAAAUAGCGGAUAGCAAAAAGAGUUUGUAGAUGCCCUCAAAUUAACAAUCCAGAAAGCAAAGAGGAAAAAUACAUCUUCCAAACACAAAAGAAAGGGGGAAAGAAAAAGAAAAUGGUAGGAAAGUAGGGGAUACGGAGGUCACCCUCUAAUGGUGGCUUCAACGUAGACUAUACUCUCUUGGCAAUCACACCAAUGAUGGAAGGAUAAAGUGACGUUGCGAUGCAAAUUGAAAGGAUGGCAAUUUCUUAUAAUUAAGAAACUCUAAUGGAAAGAGAUAACGAAAAAAAUUUAAGGGGGAGGAGUUGAAAGGAAAUUGAAAAUUCUAUGGCGUGUUUCAAAUUAAAGAAAAUGAGGAUGAGAGAAGAGAGAUAAACAUGCAUGGAUACAAAAGGUAAUGAGCCGGGAAGCUCACACGGUCGUAGCCAGAGGACAACAUGCAUAUGGACCAUGGUGGCGGUGGUAUUUCUAACCCUUUGGUUCUCUCUCUUUGUUGGUUAUUAACAAAAGAUUGGGAGAAAGACAACAAAGAGAUAGAACCAAGAAACACCACGAUUAUUAACACGAAAUUGUCACCAAGAAACUUGGUUGUCGCAAUGUAGCGCCAUAGAAGCAAAUUGAUUGUUCGAAUAUUCAUCUUUCACCUAGGAGACGGUGGUUAAUCAAUCAUUGUACCAUUUUAAUGACAAUGACUAUUCAUCUUCACUCAUGACUUCUCUCUAUAUAUUUUCUAUUUUUGAUGA